rnacentral:lncRNA from 1 species
GGGUGCAGACGUGUAUGAAAAGGAAGAAUGAGAUGGCUCAUGAAAAUAUGCUGAAGCCUGAGACCCUAAUCCAUAAACUCGACUCUUUUUCUGCCCGCCAACCGCUUCGUAGUACAGCUGGGCCUCAUUUAUGGGCGUCGGCUCAUUGCUUCCCUCCUGUUGCUGUGUUGCAGCCUCCUUCAAUUGUACGUAUUUAUCCUGCAUUACAAAUUAAAAGUAACGUAUUAGUAAAAUGACUUA